AGACGGAAUCUGAGACAAGAUUCCGGGCCCUACGGGGCGCAGCAGGCGCGAAACCUUUACACUGUACGAAAGUGCGAUAAGGGGACUCCGAGUGUGAAGGCAUAGAGCCUUCACUUUUGUACACCGUAAGGUGGUGCACGAAUAAGGACUGGGCAAGACCGGUGCCAGCCGCCGCGGUAAUACCGGCAGUCCGAGUGAUGGCCGAUCUUAUUGGGCCUAAAGCGUCCGUAGCUGGCUGAACAAGUCCGUUGGGAAAUCUGUCCGCUUAACGGGCA
rnacentral:rRNA from 1 species